UACGUAGGUGGCAAGCGUUGUCCGGAAUUAUUGGGCGUAAAGCGCGCGCAGGUGGUCCUUUAAGUCUGAUGUGAAAGCCCACGGCUCAACCGUGGAGGGUCAUUGGAAACUGGGGGACUUGAGUGCAGGAGAGAAGAGUGGAAUUCCACGUGUAGCGGUGAAAUGCGUAGAGAUGUGGAGGAACACCAGUGGCGAAGGCGGGUUGCUGGGCCAACACUGACGCUCAGGCACGAAAGCGUGGGGAGCAAACAGG
rnacentral:rRNA from 1 species